CAGUCGCCGCGGGAAUACGAAGGGGGCUAGCGUUGCUCGGAAUGACUGGGCGUAAAGGGCGCGUAGGCGGCGAUCAAAGUCAGGCGUGAAAUUCCUGGGCUCAACCUGGGGGCUGCGUUUGAUACUUGAUUGCUAGAGUGGGGAAGGGGGUCGUGGAAUUCCCAGUGUAGAGGUGAAAUUCGUAGAUAUUGGGAAGAACACCGGUGGCGAAGGCGGCGACCUGGUCCUUGACUGACGCUGAGGCGCGAAAGCGUGGGGAGCAAACAGGAUUAGAUACCCCCGUAGUCCCUGUCUCUUAUCA
rnacentral:rRNA from 1 species